rnacentral:rRNA from 1 species
UACGUUCCCGGGUCUUGUACACACCGCCCGUCACACCACGAAAGUCGGUAAUACCCGAAGCCGGUGGCCUAACCCUUUGGGAGGGAGCCGUCGAAGGUAGGAUCGAUGAUUGGGGUG